ACCUGGGUGGCUCCAUCGGUUGAGCGUCUGACUUCGGCUCAGGUCGUGAUCUUGCUGUUCGCGGGUUCGAGCCCCGUGUCAGGUU
rnacentral:tRNA from 1 species